rnacentral:rRNA from 1 species
AGGAUAAACGCUGGCGGCGUGCCUAACACAUGCAAGUCGAACGUCUCUUCUUUCGGGAAGAGGAGUGGCGGACGGGUGAGGAACACGUGGGAACCUGCCCUUUAGUGAGGAAUACCGGCGAGAAAUCGCCGACAAGACCGCAUAGCCCUCUUUGAUGAGAGUCAAAGAAGGAAAGCUUCGCAAGAGGCGCUAGAGGAGGGGCCUGCGUCCGAUUAGCUAGUUGGUGGGGUAAGAGCCUACCAAGGCGUCGAUCGGUAGCUGGUCUGAGAGGACGAUCAGCCACACUGGGAUUGAGAACGGCCCAGACUCCUACGGGGGGCAGCAGUGAGGAAUUUUCGGCAAUGGGGGAAACCCUGACCGAGCAACGCCGCGUGCAGGAAGACGGCCUUCGGUUGUAACUGCUUUCUCGAGGAGAACCGGACGGUACUCGAGGAAGAAGCCCGGCUAACUACGUGCCAGCAGCCGC